rnacentral:lncRNA from 1 species
ACAUCUUGUUACCCAUGCAAUGUUGGGGUCAGAGAGUGUAGAGAGUGGUGUGGGGAGAGUGCAGGCUGAAGAGUUACCUAAGGUCAAAAUCCUGACCUAUGAGCCAAGCCAUCGAUUUGGGAUUUCUACUGAGGACACUGGAAGUCACUAAGAGCAUCUGAAUGGUUAUGUGAAGUUGGCAGUUCCCAAGGGCUUUAGGCUUGAAGCUGUGGGUCAUACCCCUUCGGAAACUUGGUCCCCAAGAGAAAUGUAUGCUUCUGAAAACCACAGGUGCAUGAAUCGUGUUUAGUAAAUGACUACUAAACUGAAAUCAGGACUUGUCUAUAUCUUGGCUUCUCAAACUUGAAUAUGCUUAUCAUCUGGAUAGCAAAAGCAUUCCUACACGUUGAGGCCUGCCAGCGUGGGUGUCACCCAGGAGCCACUCGGAAAGGCUCAUCGGAAACCACCCCGGACUGACUGAGGCAGAAUCUCUGGGGGCAGGACCCAGGCCUCAGCAUAAAAACUCCAGGUGACGGAAGAGCUCCCACCUAACAGAAAGAAAAUAAAAGAGACUGAGAAACCACAGAAAUAAAGAAGCGCUGAUGACAAUGCCUGCUUGCUGAUGGUUACGAUGAUCAUAGCAGUGUGCAUUUUGUAUGCAUGAAGCCUGCGACUAAAUAAACGUGUGGGGAAAUAUUUGUAAGGAAAUAAGCUAUUAAUAAAAUAAGCUAAAAUCACA